CUGAGAGGACGACCAGGCACACUGGAACUGAGACACGGUCCAGACUCCUACGGGUGGCAGCAGUGGGGAAUAUUGCGCAAUGGGCGCAGCCUGACGCAGCGACGCCGCGUGGGGGAUGAAGGCCUUCGGGUUGUAAACCUCUUUCAUUAGGGAAGAAGCGAAAGUGAUGGUACCUGCGGAAGAAGCACCGGCUAACUACGUGCCGGCCGCCGCGGUAAUACGUAGGGUGCGCCGUUGUCCGGAUUUAUUGGGCGUAAAGAGCUCGUAUGGGGUUAGUCGGGUCGUAUGUGAAAACCCGGAGCUUAACUCCGGGCCUGCAUUCGAUACGGGCUGACUAGAGUGUUGCAAGGGAGAUGGGAAUUCC
rnacentral:rRNA from 1 species